UGCGAAGGGGGCUAGCGUUGUUCGGAAUUACUGGGCGUAAAGCGCACGUAGGCGGAUCGAUCAGUCAGGGGUGAAAUCCCAGGGCUCAACCCUGGAACUGCCUUUGAUACUGUCGAUCUGGAGUAUGGAAGAGGUGAGUGGAAUUCCGAGUGUAGAGGUGAAAUUCGUAGAUAUUCGGAGGAACACCAGUGGCGAAGGCGGCUCACUGGUCCAUUACUGACGCUGAGGUGCGAAAGCGUGGGGAGCAAACAGG
rnacentral:rRNA from 1 species